rnacentral:rRNA from 1 species
CCUACGGGGGGCUGCAGUCGAGGAUCUUCGUCAAUGGGCGCAAGCCUGAACGAGCGACGCCGCGUGCGGGAUGAAGGCCUUCGGGUUGUAAACCGCUGUCGAGGGGGAGAAAGCCGGGGUCACACCCGGUUGAUCGAUCCCUGGAGGAAGGACGGGCUAAGUUCGUGCCAGCAGCCGCGGUAAGACGAACCGUCCUAACGUUGUUCGGAAUCACUGGGCUUAAAGGGCGCGUAGGCGGCCCAUCAAGUCGGGGGUGAAAGCCCGCAGCUUAACUGCGGCAGGGCCUCCGAUACUGGCGGGCUGGAGGGAGGUAGGGGCAGGGGGAACUUCCGGUGGAGCGGUGAAAUGCGUUGAUAUCGGAAGGAACGCCGGCGGCGAAAGCGCCCUGCUGGACCUCUUCUGACGCUGAGGCGCGAAAGCCAGGGGAGCGAACGGGAUUA